rnacentral:misc_RNA from 1 species
AAAUAUUAGUGAAAACAAAUGCUUAACGUCAUAUAGAGCAUUACAAGAAAAUUUCAGGUGCUAAUGGCAACAGUUGCAGAAGUGCUAGUUUAGGAGAUUUAGUUUCCAGAUCAGCAGUAGGAGUUGGUUCUGCUCCAUCUGUGGCUGGUUCUAUCACUGUGAUGUAUAGAAUAUUGUAGAAAAUGGUAAAAAGAAAGAGUGCUGUAGUUAAAAGUGCUAGGAAAGAUCCUGAAAGCUGUGGCACAGGCUCUUCUUCUGUGGUUUGAUCUCUUGCUAUUUUCACUUCUGAAGCUUUUAUUUUUGGAGGGUUGACUUGUUUCUUGGAGAGGUCUUGGAGCUGCUGAUCAAGUUUUUGAAGGGCCUC